rnacentral:rRNA from 1 species
GUAGGGAAUCUUCGGCAAUGGGGGCAACCCUGACCGAGCAACGCCGCGUGAGUGAAGAAGGUUUUCGGAUCGUAAAGCUCUGUUGUAAGAGAAGAACGAGUGUGAGAGUGGAAAGUUCACACUGUGACGGUAACUUACCAGAAAGGGACGGCUAACUACGUGCCAGCAGCCGCGGUAAUACGUAGGUCCCGAGCGCUAUCCGGAUUUAUUGGGCGUAAAGCGAGCGCAGGCGGUUAGAUAAGUCUGAAGUUAAAGGCUGUGGCUUAACCAUAGUACGCUUUGGAAACUGUUUAACUUGAGUGCAGAAGGGGAGAGUGGAAUUCCAUGUGUAGCGGUGAAAUGCGUAGAUAUAUGGAGGAACACCGGUGGCGAAAGCGGCUCUCUGGUCUGUAACUGACGCUGAGGCUCGAAAGCGUGGGGAGCAA